UACAGAGGUGGCAAGCGUUGUUCGGAAUUACUGGGCGUAAAGGGCGCGUAGGCGGUUCGGUAAGUCCCGUGUGAAAUCCCUCGGCUCAACUGAGGAACUGCACGGGAGACUGCCGGGCUUGAGUUCGGGAGAGGGAAGCGGAAUUCCGGGUGUAGCGGUGAAAUGCGUAGAUAUCCGGAGGAACACCGGUGGCGAAGGCGGCUUCCUGGACCGACACUGACGCUGAGGCGCGAAAGCUAGGGGAGCAAACGGG
rnacentral:rRNA from 1 species